AAACCAACCGGGAUUGCCUCAGUAGCGGCGAGUGAAGCGGCAAAAGCUCCACUUUGAAAGCGUUUCGGCGCGUUGUAGUGUGGUGCAGUCUUUGAACGGCGAAUAACUAAGUCCCUUGGAACAGGGUGCCAUAGAGGGUGAGAGCCCCGUGAGUUAUUUUUUUAAGUUCUUUAAGUCUGUACUAAAGAGUCGAGUUGUUUGGGAAUGCAGCUCUAAGUGGGUGGUAAAUUCCAUCUAAGGCUAAAUACCGGCGAGAGACCGAUAGCGAACAAGUACAGUGAUGGAAAGAUGAAAAGCACUUUGAAAAGAGAGUGAAACAGUACGUGAAAUUGUUGAAAGGGAAGGGUAUUUGGCCCGACAUGGGUCCUGUGCACCGUUGCCUCUUGUGGGCGGCGCUCUGCUGGGGCCUGGGCCAGCAUCAUUUUUCUGGCGGGGAUAAGGUUGCGUGAACCACCUAGUGGGGAUCGUGGCGAUGCCCGCACGGGGGAAUGAGGACUGCCGCUGUAGGAUGCUGGCACAACGGCCAAAUACCGC
rnacentral:rRNA from 1 species